rnacentral:misc_RNA from 1 species
AUUUUCUUACCUUAAUUCCCACUCUAAUCCCUCAAAUACAUAGAAGUCGCCUCAAACCUUCUAUGAUAACAAAAAGCUUCUUUUCUUCCCUCUCUUUAAGUGGGUUAAAAGGAAAAUUUUAGAGGGAACCUUUUCCCUUUUGAAACUCUAGACAAAUUUGGUAAGUCAUCUUCUCUCUUCCCUUAGUUCUUUGAAGAUUUUAAG